UUGCCUAUAUCAUAAGCGGAGGAAAAGAAACCAACCGGGAUUGCCUUAGUAACGGCGAGUGAAGCGGCAAAAGCUCAAAUUUGAAAUCUGGUACCUUCGGUGCCCGAGUUGUAAUUUGGAGAGGGCAACUUUGGGGCCGUUCCUUGUCUAUGUUCCUUGGAACAGGACGUCAUAGAGGGUGAGAAUCCCGUGUGGCGAGGAGUGCGGUUCUUUGUAAAGUGCCUUCGAAGAGUCGAGUUGUUUGGGAAUGCAGCUCUAAGUGGGUGGUAAAUUCCAUCUAAAGCUAAAUAUUGGCGAGAGACCGAUAGCGAACAAGUACAGUGAUGGAAAGAUGAAAAGAACUUUGAAAAGAGAGUGAAAAAGUACGUGAAAUUGUUGAAAGGGAAGGGCAUUUGAUCAGACAUGGUGUUUUGUGCCCUCUGCUCCUUGUGGGUAGGGGAAUCUCGCAUUUCACUGGGCCAGCAUCAGUUUUGGUGGCAGGAUAAAUCCAUAGGAAUGUAGCUUGCCUCGGUAAGUAUUAUAGCCUGUGGGAAUACUGCCAGCUGGGACUGAGGACUGCGACGUAAGUCAAGGAUGCUGGCAUAAUGGUUAUAUGCCGCCCGUCUUGAACCGGGGACCAA
rnacentral:rRNA from 1 species